UUUUCCGUUUUCUUUAUUCUUAUUGGAAGAUUCGAGAUCCCCAUCACCGACAAAAACUCCUCCCGCCAACCUUUGGACAGCCCCCCUUUUCCGCCUCCUUUUCUCGUCAUGUAAUCUUCUCUCUCUUUCUUCCGCGUAGUGAUUCUUCCUCCGCUGUUCUCUCUUCAAGAGGGAAGAAGAUGACUCAUAUCCUUAUUCGACAUCAUUAGAUUUCAAUUCAGUUCUUAGAUUUCUUCUUCUUUUUCUCUUCAUAUCGAUCGUUUAAUUCGGGAUUUUGCACUCUUGUUGAUCUUAAUUGGACGAUUUUAGCGCGAUUUUUCGUUUUUGAGUUCUUUAUUUGUUGUUAAGUCGAUCGAAAUUUGUGUUUGAUGAUGUGUUUCUCUUAAUUCCGAUUCACGGGGAAACCAGAGGGAGGACGAUCGACAGAGGGCUCAAGCUCGAAAGUCUCAGGUGAAGCAGCGAGACGACGGCCUAACCCCUGAACAGCGCCGCGAGAGGUAUCCCUCUUCCCUUGAUCUGAUUGAUUAGCUGAUGGUCGAACGGAUCCUAAAUACGUAGGCUGAUGGGGUAAUUAAUUGGCAAAAAGAACUGAUCUCGAGUUACGUUGAUGCUGUGCAGGGAUGCGAAAGCGCUCCAAGAGAAGGCAGCUAAGAAGGCUGCGCAAGCAGCAGUAGGAGUCACUACCGACUCGAAAAACAAAGACAACGCAAAGAAGUAGCAACGGGAGUUCGAUCCGGCAGGUUAUUCANNNNNNNNNNNNNNNNNNNNNNNNNNNNNNNNNNNNNNNNNNNNNNNNNNNNNNNNNNNNNNNNNNNNNNNNNNNNNNNNNNNNNNNNNNNNNNNNNNNNNNNNNNNNNNNNNNNNNNNNNNNNNNNNNNNNNNNNNNNNNNNNNNNNNNNNNNNNNNNNNNNNNNNNNNNNNNNNNNNNNNNNNNNNNNNNNNNNNNNNNNNNNNNNNNNNNNNNNNNNNNNNNNNNNNNNNNNNNNNNNNNNNNNNNNNNNNNNNNNNNNNNNNNNNNNNNNNNNNNNNNNNNNNNNNNNNNNNNNNNNNNNNNNNNNNNNNNNNNNNNNNNNNNNNNNNNNNNNNNNNNNNNNNNNNNNNNNNNNNNNNNNNNNNNNNNNNNNNNNNNNNNNNNNNUUCAGUUUAAAGGGCAUCUCUAUUUGACUGUCAUGAUGUAACUUGCCUUUCUUUUCCUAGUGGUUCUCGUCUCUUGAUGUCUCUUAAUCUGUGACUGAAUGGUCAUGGAGGUUUUACUCUAAUAACUAGAAGAAGACUGCUUGCUUCUCAUAAUCCAUUAAUUUUUAUGGUCUGUGAGUUGCAUUAACCAUUUAUUUUUAGCUAUGCUUUACUCGAUUGGAUUCUGUUAAAACAUGGAUCAGCAAAGGACACCUCUUUAUAUAUAAUAUGUUGAAAGUUACUGUUUGAUCUGUACAUUCCAUUGUAUUUGAGGAACUUUGACAAAGCAAAUAUUGUAGAACUUGGCUUGUUGGUGAUGGCAACCAUGAACCUUCGAUUACAGGAAGGGUUUUUUUGCUAUUGUAAUGUAUUCACCUUUUUUCUUGUUGUGUUUGAGCAAUUUUAUCUUUGGAUCCGGGCAUACUUGGAAGAUAAAAUAAAUAUUGUGAAUUCUGUGUCUUUUUUUUUUUUUGAUGAUAUUUUGGAGGUUUGAUCAUUACUUUUGACUGUUAUUAAGAAGAUCUUAGUUAGCUAUCUUAGAUGGUCUUUGUAGCAAGGUCUAUAUAUUUGACUUGUUUGUGUAGUCCUGCCAUAAUGACUAUUUAAUUCCUUUUCCUGAUCUAAAAUAAUGUGAAACAGGUUUUCUUAAUGUGGUUGAUAGGGCGGGGAACAUAGAUCCUUUGAUCAAUAAAAUGAUCGUCAUUUUGCGUUGAUAGUUUAAUGAGAAACUUUUGUGUUCAUCUGGGGACAUAUUUUUGUUUGUCAUUGUUCUUUGGACAUUUGCAUUUGAUUCGUGCAGGACUUUAAUUUGUUUUACAAAGACUUUCAGGACCUCUUUUUUCCAGUUUGAUGAUUUGUGGCAUUGCAAAGCAACUCUUUAAGGCUACUCACGGCUAUGCCGAGCGUCCAAGCAAGUAAGGGAAUGCCAGGAGUGAACCAUUAUACUGUAAGCCUGCCAUUUCAUGAGUUUGUGCAAUUUCGAGUUUUAGCAAUUUUCAAGGAGUUCCACUUGACCCUACUGUUUUUAGAAUGAAAUCAUUGGUCACCUUUGUUAUAAACAAAACAUGGCACAAUAUGGUUCACAUAUGUCUAAGUUCCAAGUAGCAACAUUACCAUGGCAUCAAUGCUUAGACCUUUGUUAUAAACCAAAAACUUAAAUAUAGAAUUAAUAAUUGUUGGUCUUGACCAUAUGUAUGCUUGUCAAGUAUGUUACUUGGUGAAGUAUGAUAGGGUAUAUUCUGGUACCACCCCCGUGGCAACAGUUAACAAGCACGUCAGUGCCAACGCUGAGCCUCAGGGCUGAUAUGGGGAACUGUGUCGACGCGACACCUCGGACUCGGAUGGGACGAUCGCUUGUUCUCGUGCUAUCCGAGGCCGUACAAGACAGUGCUGCAAUGUACAAAGCCGCUCUGGAAAGCUCGGAACGGUGUCGUGCGGCGUCGCUCCGUGCAGGUCGGUCGGCGCUCGCAUGUAUGGUACGAGCCGGCCGCCCGAGGAGUUGGCAGCCAUUAACAGAUCAUGUACGAUCGACCUUCGUUCACAAGUAUAAGAGUCAACCUCCUGACCAGCGUCAGGGGUAGAACUUCGAACACUCAAACUCCCCCGAACACCACUCAACACUAGCUUAGACUUCAGAGGGGUCGAGUCGAGAAAUCCCCCUCAUGACUUCGACCUGUGUGCAUGAACUUGGCAAGGAAAGAGCGGCAACCCGACGAGGGAGGAAGAGCAACUCCUUGCUCGACAUCGGAUCAAUUAUGGAGAUGAAGCCCGGAUCGAACCUGAUGUCGCCCACCUUUGCCCGAGCAUCCACGUGGGCGACUCUGCGCACUCGGGAUUGGAUCAAACCGUGUUGACUCCUCGGCCUCGGCCUCGGCCACGGUAUAAAGAUACCCAACAAAGUAUAUUUUCUCCAUCUUACCUUUCUGGCGCCUGUUUAUUGUUCUUUAGAUUUCCAUAUGUUGCUUUUCAAGGUAAUUAUAGGAUGAUUCAUGUAGCAAAUAGGUAUCAGGUGAGAUACUGUGUGAUUAUGUAGAUGAAUCUCAUCUUUUUCUCUCUUGUUUUCUAGUGUCUGUGUAAUUUGCUGGAUAUGAUUACGGCUUCAUGUUUCUAGUUUGGAUGCUCAGUGACAUAUAAUGAUUUUUUUUGUGUUAUUAGAUACAUCAGAAAACGCUUACAUACACUUCUCGGGUCAGGACAAUUGCUUAGAAUUUAGAAUGCUAAUGAUGUCAUUUACAUUUGGUUCUUAGCAAAAAUCGAUGUGCUGAAUUUUCAGUAGCAAAAAAUUUUGUUGGCAAUAUUGCUUGAUUAGGUGUAACUUGUUUGCUUGGCAGUAAAUAGUAAAUUAUGAUCAAACUUUUGGGACAUUAUAGUCAAUCUAUCACAUCGAACUAAAAAUGACAUUCUUUCUUGUGAUAUGAAAUUGAUAAGCCUGAUGAUUAGAACAUGCAUGCUGUAUUUCUCACGGGGAGAGAAAUCUAAGCCUGGCAUUUUGAAUACCACUUUAUAGGAACUGUUAUUCUAUUUGGAUAAGUGUGUGUAUGUUUGUCUGCGAUAUUAUAGUAUAGACUGGGUAAGUGCAUCGAGUAUCGCAAAGAUAUUCCACCAUGAAUCAUCAGAUCAGUGAGGUUCAAAUCUGAUGGAAUUCUCGGGCAUUGCGUACAUUUACGCACCCCACAAGAAUCCUUUAGCUGCCUUAUAAUCCUCAAAUUCGAAUUUGAAUAUGGUAUUAAAUGGUUGUUAAUUAUCACGCCACAACCGCUCAGCUUGAUAACAAUUGAUGGGAAUGUCGGAAGAAAUGGAGGACAAAUAAUUAAAUACUAGGCUCAAACAACCGCAUAAGAACAGCGUUUUUGUUAGCUCGAUGUGUUUGGACAAUCCAAUAUGAGUAGGAAAGUUAGUGCAGACUGUGUAUUGAAUCAAAUGGCCUCACAAAAUGGUGUUUGGACAAUCCAAUAUGAGUAGGAAAGGAAGUGCAGACUGAGUAUCGAAUCAAAUGGCCUCACAAAAUGCAAUUCCCUAUCAGAAUGAUCCAUCAUAAUCUAUCGGAGUAUAUAUUACCAACACAAACAUAAUACUUGGACAUAAUAAGAUUGAAUACAGAUCAACGACAGUCCCAUGCAUAUGUUCCUCGAAGGACAACACAGUAGUGGACAUGAAGAUUAUAACAGAUCACAAUAACAAGGUUGGAAUUGUACUAAAAAUGCAAUCCAACACACUGAUAUUUAGAGUUCAGAGAGAGAGAGAGAGAACACCUGCACAUUCAAAUAUAGUCGGGCUACUCUUCUCAACAAGAAUAGGAGCACCAACUGCAGACAUUUCAGUUAGCCUGCAGAGAUCUUGGUGGUGGAUGCUUAAUUCUGACAUGCGAUAAAUUUCGGUGGCAAUCAUGGGAUAUUUACUUGAAACUCCCUCUAGAGCACAGCAAUUGUCACCUUACGUUUGGGUGGCAUCAUCAUUGAUGAAUUGUCGAUAUGAUUGGGAUCUAGACAUAGUUCUUGGAGCUUCCUUGCCCCUCAUCUUGUCGAUUCUCUGUUCCAGCUCAGAUUUUGCUUUCGAUUGGAUCUAAUACGUAGGCUGUGGAGGUUCUUGCUCAUCGCUGAGAACCCCAAUGCCAUCUGGUGACCCACCAACGAUAGCCUUGGCAGUGGAGACACUGUCAGAUGAAUCUAUAUUAAGGAAUAGGCAGACCACAGCGCAGUCAUCAACCCUCGAGGUCGGAUAUCUAAGCCUCCAGGCUCGGCCUGCUGAUUCAACAACAUAGCGAGCUGCAGAGGACCUUGUGGAAGCCAUAGCAACAAUGUCUACCACCUCUUUGUUGGAUAAUACAUCCCAAACCUGACGAGUCAACCAAACAUGUAAGGAUAAUGCUUCAUAAGCAUUCUAGUCAUGUUAUUUCGUAAACUGCAAAGAAAAGAAAAAAAUCUGACAAUAAGUUCAGGGAAUUUUGUCAGCUAAUACUAAUGGAAAAUCAUAAUUCAUCUCACCCCAUCGGUGGCCAAGACUAUAAACUCAUCUUUCUCUGUGAUGCGUCUGUAUGAAAUCUCAGGCACAGAAAUCAAACCAAAAUCCUUCAAACAAAAAUCCCCAAAAGCUCGUGCCAUUGCCAAGCCCGGAGAGUUAGCAUUAGGCAGCCAUAACCGAGCCACCUCUGGUUCAUCACGAAGAGCAAAAACACGGCCCCUGCAACGUCUAAUUCUUUCUGCUUCCCCUGUAAAAGAAAUUUUCAUGGUAAAAAAAACAUUCGAACAAAUUAGACAAGUAGCAAAGUAGUAAUAAAAAUAUUUCGGGAAUCCCUACCCACCUACAAGUUGCUUUCAUGAUAGAAAAAUAUCUAAAUAGAAAAAGAAAUGGCAAGACCAUUGGCUAGAUCUGUUCUACAAUUAUAUUUAGCAGUUGGCUUAUGAAACAGAUCCAUUUGUGUGGCUGCAGAUAUAACUAUAAAGAACUACAUUAAAGGAACAACAAUCUAGUAUCUCAUUGCUCUCAAGCAAAAUAUCUUAAAUCAAUGUUGAAAGAAUUGCCAAGUCUCUCAAAUCAACGAGAAUUUAGCACUUAAAAAAAACCGCUAGUUAGCAAAUCAAUCAUAUAUGAGCCAACUGAGUUACCUUCAUCUAUGGUACCAAGGAGGUUAGCAAUUUAACCAUACAAGAUAUUUAUAGUACCAUUACCAUGGUUGAAAUAACCAGUUCAAAUGACCAGAAGAUUCUCCAUCACAAGUAUAUAGAGAUAAAUCUCUCGCGGAUUUUAACAACCCAAAAGGUAAAAUAGUCAUAUCCAUUAACAUUUGUGCAAAAAUGAUUUGAAGUAUACAAAACAUACCUGCAAGAACAUGUCGGUGCGAAUAUGUAAAAUAUGAACUUACAUACUCAAAAAGUAUUAAGUGACAAAGGAGGAAAAUCAUACUGGGAAGAUUUGGUUUAAGGUCCACGGUCAACUGCACCGCAACCAAGGUGUUAUUUUGAUCUCUAGUCCCCAAAACUGCUCUUGAGUCUCCAACAUUUCCAAUGACAAGAUCUUGACCCUAAGAUGAAUAAAACCCGACUUAGCAAUACAUAAUUGUAUAUAUUUUUAAAUAACCAAUUAAACAGAACAUUUUGUCAUUUCAUUAAAAACCAAGAUGGGAAACUAAUGGCUCAUAAUCAACCUGCUUAACCAAAGUAACAGCUGUUGUCCCACUAUAGAAGCAAUCAAUAUCUGGAUGCAGUCUCAGUUCCUUAUCCACUUUUCUAAAAGCCUUCAGGAAUGGGUCUCUCAGUGUUGCUAUGAUUUCCGAACGCUUGAUCAAAUCCUUGAAGCCAAUGGAAGCUCUGAAUUCUUCAUUGAGACACACAGAUGAUGUUUCCUCUGAAUCCAUGCUUUUACUGAGAUUGUUCUCUUUACAUUCAUCAUCUCCUAUAUUUACUUCCCAUCUGGCACGCAGCUUUAGUGGGAGGAUAUCUCUUACUUUUUUCGCCACCAUGUGGCCAUUUGGACCAUGACCAUCAAAAACUCCACAAAAAACAGUGUCACUUCUACAGCCAAAAUUCUGCAUAAUUGUCCAGAUAACAUAAGAUGAUCAUUAAAAUGACAGUGUUCAAACCGGAAAUAACUUCUAAAACAACCAAUAGCAGGAAGAAAAAAUGCCAUUGACAUAUCAUAUGCUAAAUAUAAAGUAUGGCAAAAAUUGGUACCAGUAGAGAAAACAAUAAGCUAUAAUGCACAGAUUCAGAUGAUGAUUAAUUUCAAACAGAAGCACUUGAAUUCGAAUCUCUAUGCUGAUAAAUGGAAGUCAUUGGUUUCCUACUAAAUAAUACAACAAGCAUAUAGUUUGAAGAGCAAAACUUUGUAUACAGAAUUGAUAUCGAUCCGAAACAAGAACAAAAGUAAAAAGGAAAUUUCAUAAAAUUCAAGACACAUGGUAACUGGAAGAAUCAAAACCUGAGACUUAAAAGAGUAAAAUGAUUCCAAUUUUGUUACUAAUUAGAGAAUUCGACAUUCAGGAGAUGAAGAAUGAUGAGAUCAAUGAGCAAAAAGACAGGUAGGUAAUAAACAAGCCACUGGAUUUUCUGCUCCUGGAACAUGAGAUUAAUUUCUACAAUGCAACUGGACUGUAAACACAGACAAGAAGAACUACCACUAGAUCCAGUAGAAGGCAUAACAUGGCACACAAAUCAAUGUCUACUCUGGUAUCACAAACAUCAAGCAAACCAUUAGCUGGAAAAGAAAAGGAAGGCAACAAGAUGAUGAAAGCCCAAAUGUCGAAUCUAAGCAUGGAAUCAUUACACCAAACACCACCACCACCAAGAAUCUGACGAACCUCCCAAACGAUCAUGGCAUCCUGGUUGAUGCCUUUCUUGCCCUGCCGGGAGAAGAGCGAGGCGGCGCUGCUGGCGCCGUUGAGGAACAUCCUCCCGGGGAUCCGAUGGAGCUGCUCCUCCGGCAAGCCACUCAUCUGCCUCCUCAGGCUUCUCCGGCGCCGCCUGGCCCCUGACGCCGGCGACGCGGGGGGCGACGAGCUGGAGCCGCCGUUCCGUCCUUCCGGCGACAGGCAGGAACCCAUUGGGAGGGCCCUGAUCACGUCUAGUAUGCACUCCAGAGCCGCCAGGCAGCUGAACCAGACGAUUAAACUUGGCGGAUCCGUCGAAACCCCAAAUCAAAACACGCUCCCCCACCCACCCCACCCCUCUCUCUCUCUCUCUCUCUUACGCCCUUUAAUCCGAUCGAUCGAACCCUCUUCUUCUCUUCUAAGUUUCUUCCUUUUCUUGAUCCUUAUUGCAGCACGGACAGAUUCCGUGGAAUUCCUGGAACAAAAGCUCCACUUUUUGGAGGAAUCAAGAUCAGCAAACAGGGGGAGAGCAACCAAUCACGAAACAGAUGUGUGAAUGAACGGUAUACAUAAAGAAGGAUAACUACUGGACAGGGAUGAUAACAAAGGACACCUUGGAUGAAAGAUCACUGCAGAGGAAUCUAGAUUCCCAUGAAAGCUUUUUCUAUUCGAAGAAGGAAG
rnacentral:lncRNA from 1 species